CCCGCGCGUCAGUCAGCGCCGGCACGGCCCCGGCGGGGCUGGGCUCGGCAACGGCCGGGAGAGGGCUCUGAGUAAACGGCGUUGGUGUGCGCGUGGCUGGGCCUCAGCCUCUGACUUCUCCGCCGGAUUCCGGCCGUUAGGAAGGGCUGGGUCGACGUUAGCGCGUUAAAAACUGCCGGUUGUUCUGGGCUGAGCUCCAGAAGUUCAGGUCUCCUCAGUGCGGCUGGUCAGAUCCGCACAGAACUGAGCGUCGACACGGCUCAUAGGUGUCGUCAGCCUCCCUGUCGGUGAUGCAAAGUUCCUAUAACCACUUCCUUGUCAAGGGUCAGGAUUACUCCAUCCCUCCUUCUCUGAAAAUGUUUAGAAACCACACCUGCUCCAGAGGAUCAAAAGGGGUUUGGAGGACAUACCAUCUGUAUGAUAGAGGCAAGGUGAGGUUUCCUAUGAAAAUGAAACCUGGAAAACUUGAAGAGCACAGGACUUAUUCCUGCUUGAAUUCAAGUCUCCCGAGAGAUUUCUUGUAUCCAUCUGUAUGCACGUGAAUCUAACCAACACAGGCCACGCCAGCCAGGAAGAAACAGGCACCAGCAAGGACAAAACAGGACCUCACUUCUGGUCCCCAGCACAGGGAAUACCCUCAGCAGCAGUAAAUGCAAAAACCAGAAAGCUAUUCAUGGACUUCCAGAUUGAAACUACCCUUCUUCACAAAACAAAUUGCAUUGCUUUCCCGGUGCUUGUCAAGUGAGAGGCAAUGGUAGUUAAAGGACAUUUCUACAAUCCACAAUUCCCAACUGAGAAAACUUGAAAAGACAUUUAAUAUAUGAGACGUGAAGAAAUUGUGAAGCAUUGCAGUUGUGAAAUCCAUUAGUACAUACAGCUUUCAAGGAAUGCUAAAAAAUUGGGGAUGCGUAGAACAAGCUUAGCAACCUUAUAAACUCAGAAUAUUUGCUGUGUAAAAGUUGUGGAAUAUUUCAAGAAAACAACCCCUCAAAAUGUAUGAUAUUUUUCCUUGUUUUUCGUGCACUACCUGCAUGACAUUGUUCCAAGCGCCUGGAUUUCAGUUCAAAGUAGCAGAAAAGAAAAUGUGUAAAUUGAAUAGAUUCAACAAAAAAAGUCAUAAGCA